UGGGGAAUAUUGCACAAUGGGCGCAAGCCUGAUGCAGCCAUGCCGCGUGUGUGAAGAAGGCCUUCGGGUUGUAAAGCACUUUCAGCGAGGAGGAAGGUGGUGAGCUUAAUACGCUCAUCAAUUGACGUUACUCGCAGAAGAAGCACCGGCUAACUCCGUGCCAGCAGCCGCGGUAAUACGGAGGGUGCAAGCGUUAAUCGGAAUUACUGGGCGUAAAGCGCACGCAGGCGGUUUGUUAAGUCAGAUGUGAAAUCCCCGGGCUCAACCUGGGAACUGCAUUUGAAACUGGCAAGCUAGAGUCUCGUAGAGGGGGGUAGAAUUCCAGGUGUAGCGGUGAAAUGCGUAGAGAUCUGGAGGAAUACCGGUGGCGAAGGCGGCCCCCUGGACGAAGACUGACGCUCAGGUGCGAAAGCGUGGGGCAGCAAACAGGAUUAGAUACCCCUGGUAGUCCACGCUGUAAAACGAUGUCGAUUUUGGAGGUUGUGCCCUUGAGGCGUGGCUUCCGGAGCUAACGCGUUAAAUCGACCGCCUGGGGAGUACGGCCGCAAGGUU
rnacentral:rRNA from 1 species